rnacentral:rRNA from 1 species
AACGAACGCUGGCGGCAUGCCUAACACAUGCAAGUCGAACGAGACCUUCGGGUCUAGUGGCGCACGGGUGCGUAACGCGUGGGAACCUGCCUUUAGGUUCGGAAUAACUCAGAGAAAUUUGAGCUAAUACCGGAUGAUGUCUUCGGACCAAAGAUUUAUCGCCUUUAGAUGGGCCCGCGUUGGAUUAGCUAGUUGGUGGGGUAAAGGCCUACCAAGGCGACGAGCCAUAGCUGGUCUGAGAGGAUGAUCCGCCACACUUGGACUGAGACACGGCCCAGACUCCUACCGGAAGCAGCCGUGGGGAAUAUUGGACAAUGGGCGAAAGCCUGAUCCAGCAAUGCCGCGUGAGUGAUGAAGGCCUUAGGGUUGUAAAGCUCUUUUACCCGAGAUGAUAAUGACAGUAUCGGGAGAAUAAGCUCCGGCUAACUCCGUG